CCUACGGGAGGCAGCAGUGGGGGAUAUUGCACAAUGGGGGGAACCCUGAUGCAGCGACGCCGCGUGGGUGAAGGAGUGCUUCGGCAUGUAAAGCCCUAUCGGCAGGGAAGAAGCAAGACGGUACCUGACUAAGAAGCCCCGGCUAACUACGUGCCAGCAGCCGCGGUAAUACGUAGGGGGCGAGCGUUAUCCGGAUUCACUGGGUGGAAAGGGAGCGUAGACGGCCAUGCAAGCCAGGGGUGAAAGCCCGGGGCCCAACCCCGGGACUGCCCUUGGAACUGCAUGGCUGGAGUGCGGGAGGGGCAGGCGGAAUGCCUGGUGUAGCGGUGAAAUGCGUAGAUAUCAGGAGGAACACCGGCGGCGAAGGCGGCCUGCUGGACCGCGACUGACGUUGAGGCUCGAAAGCGUGGGGAGCGAACAGGAUUAGAUACCCUAGUAGUC
rnacentral:rRNA from 1 species